rnacentral:rRNA from 1 species
UGGGGAAUAUUGGACAAUGGGGGAAACCCUGAUCCAGCAAUGCCGCGUGAGUGAUGAAGGCCUUAGGGUUGUAAAGCUCUUUUACCAGGGAUGAUAAUGACAGUACCUGGAGAAUAAGCUCCGGCUAACUCCGUGCCAGCAGCCGCGGUAAUACGGAGGGAGCUAGCGUUGUUCGGAAUUACUGGGCGUAAAGCGCGCGUAGGUGGCUUUGUAAGUCAGAGGUGAAAUCCCGGGGCUCAACCCCGGAACUGCCUUUGAAACUACAUCGCUAGAGUCUUGGAGAGGUUAGUGGAAUUCCGAGUGUAGAGGUGAAAUUCGUAGAUAUUCGGAAGAACACCAGUGGCGAAGGCGACUAACUGGACAAGUACUGACACUGAGGUGCGAAAGCGUGGGGAGCAAACAGGAUUAGAUACCCCCGUAGUCC